GCCGCGGUAAAACGUAGGGGACAAGCGUUAUCCGGAUUCCUGGGCGUAAAGAGCGUUGAGGCGGUUCCGUAAGUUGGGCGUGAAAGCUCCGGGCUUAACCCGGAGAUGUCGUUCAAUACUGCGGGGCUUGAGGACAGCAGAGGAAGGUGGAAUUCCCGGUGUAGUGGUGAAAUGCGUAGAUAUCGGGAGGAACACCCGUGGCGAAGGCGGCCUUCUGGGCUGUUCCUGACGCUGAAGGCGAAAGCUAGGGGAGCGAACGGGAUUAGAUACCCCGGUAGUCCUAGCUGUAAACGAUGGAUGCUGGGUGUGGGGGGUGUAAAUUCCCUCUGUGCCGAAGCAAACGCGUUAAGCAUCCCGCCUGGGGACUACGGCCGCAAGGCUAAAACUCAAACGAAUUGACGGGGGCCCGCACAAGCAGCGGAGCGUGUGGUUUAAUUCGAUGCUACACGAAGAACCUUACCUGGGUUUGACAUGCACGUGGUAGGGAACCGAAAGGGGACCGACCUUCGGGAGCGUGCACAGGUGCUGCAUGGCUGUCGUCAGCUCGUGCCGUGAGGUGUCGGGUUAAGUCCCGUAACGAGCGCAACCCUUGCCCUUAGUUACAAGUGUCUAAGGNGACUGCCCGGGACAACUGGGAGGAAGGUGGGGAUGACGUCAAGUCAGCAUGGCCUUUAUAUCCAGGGCUACACACACGCUACAAUGGCCAGUACAAUAGGUAGCCAAGUCGUGAGACGGAGCCCAUCCUUAAAGCUGGUCUCAGUUCGAAUUGCAGUCUGCAACUCGACUGCAUGAAGCUGGAGUUGCUAGUAAUCGCAGGUCAGCCCUACUGCGGUGAAAUACGUUCCCGGCCCUUGUACCCACCG
rnacentral:rRNA from 1 species